GUAGUUGCCUAACGCCUAAAAUAGUGGAAGUGCUUGUUUGUACACAAGAUUGGUUAAAAGGAACACCUUUCUCUAUACUUUUUGACGAGGAUCCUAAAGAACUUGAUAAAUUUGAGCAAGAGAUAACAUCUCAAGAUGAAGUGGGACCUUCAAGUGCUGCUAUUAAUUUGGAUGAUUGAAAAUCAAGAAAGAAGCAUUGAUAUGGGAGAAAAUGGCUAUGGCUCUAUAUCCUGGUAUACCAACAAGCUAUAUGGAGGGUUAGUAUUUGCAGUAGGAAUUUCAUUUCAAUUUGAUUUCUGGCU